AUUGAACGCUGGCGGCAGGCCUAACACAUGCAAGUCGAGCGAGCGGCGGACGGGUGAGUAAUGUCUGGUACACUGCCUGAUGGAGGGGGAUAACUACUGGAAACGGUAGCUAAUACCGCAUACCAUCAGAUUUGCCCAGAUGGGAUUAGCUAGUAGGUGGGGUAACGGCUCACCUAGGCGACGAUCCCUAGCUGGUCUGAGCGGAUGACGAGCCACACGGGAACUGAGACACGGUCCAGACUCCUACGGGAGGCAGCAGUGGGGAAGAUUGCACAAUGGGCGCAAGCCUGAUGCAGCCAUGCCGCGUGUGUGAAGAAGGCCUUCGGGUUGUAAAGCACUUUCAGCGGGGAGGCGUUACCCGCAGAAGAAGCACCGGCUAACUCCGUGCCAGCCGCCGCGGUAAUAC
rnacentral:rRNA from 1 species